UACGUAGGGCGCAAGCGUUGUCCGGAAUUAUUGGGCGUAAAGAGCUCGUAGGUGGUGUGUCGCGUCUGCCGUGAAAGCCCGGGGCUUAACUCCGGGUCUGCGGUGGAUACGGGCAGACUAGAGGCAGGUAGGGGAGAACGGAAUUCCCGGUGUAGCGGUGAAAUGCGUAGAUAUCGGAAGGAACAUCAGUGGCGAAGGCGACUUCCUGGACCAAUACUGACGCUCAUGUGCGAAAGCGUGGGGAGCAAACAGG
rnacentral:rRNA from 1 species